AGACCCGAAACCCGGUGAUCUAGCCAUGGGCAGGUUGAAGGUUGGGUAACACUAACUGGAGGACCGAACCGACUAAUGUUGAAAAAUUAGCGGAUGACCUGUGGCUGGGGGUGAAAGGCCAAUCAAACCGGGAGAUAGCUGGUUCUCCCCGAAAGCUAUUUAGGUAGCGCCUCGUGAAUUCAUCUCCGGGGGUAGAGCACUGUUUCGGCUAGGGGGCCAUCCCGGCUUACCAACCCGAUGCAAACUGCGAAUACCGGAGAAUGUUAUCACGGGAGACACACGGCGGGUGCUAACGUCCGUCGUGAAGAGGGAAACAACCCAGACCGCCAGCUAAGGUCCCAAAGUCAUGGUUAAGUGGGAAACGAUGUGGGAAGGCCCAGACAGCCAGGAUGUUGGCUUAGAAGCAGCCAUCAUUUAAAGAAAGCGUAAUAGCUCACUGGUCGAGUCGGCCUGCGCGGAAGAUGUAACGGGGCUAAACCAUGCACCGAAGCUGCGGCAGCGACACUCAGGUGUUGUUGGGUAGGGGAGCGUUCUGUAAGCCUGUGAAGGUGUGUCGUGAGGCAUGCUGGAGGUAUCAGAAGUGCGAAUGCUGACAUAAGUAACGAUAAAGCGGGUGAAAAGCCCGCUCGCCGGAAGACCAAGGGUUCCUGUCCAACGUUAAUCGGGGCAGGGUGAGUCGACCCCUAAGGCGAGGCCGAAAGGCGUAGUCGAUGGGAAACGGGUUAAUAUUCCCGUACUUGGUGUUACUGCGAAGGGGGGACGGAGAAGGCUAUGUUGGCCGGGCGACGGUUGUCCCGGUUUAAGCGUGUAGGUGUGUGUUCCAGGUAAAUCCGGUUCACUUUAACACUGAGGCGUGAUGACGAGGCACUACGGUGCUGAAGCAACAAAUGCCCUGCUUCCAGGAAAAGCCUCUAAGCAUCAGGUAACAUCAAAUCGUACCCCAAACCGACACAGGUGGUCAGGUAGAGAAUACCAAGGCGCUUGAGAGAACUCGGGUGAAGGAACUAGGCAAAAUGGUGCCGUAACUUCGGGAGAAGGCACGCUGACA
rnacentral:rRNA from 1 species